ensembl:lncRNA
UGGAAUUCCUGCAAAUUUGAUAUAUUUGACUUCUCUGAAGACGAAUGAUUUUUGAAAAGGAAAAAUAAUCAUUUUAAUGUGAGGCAAAACAUGUAUGGUGCUCGGUAAAGAUGACACGCCGACUCACUUCUUCUUUUUUUGUUUUUUUUUUGUUUGAGAAAGUUUGUUUUCAUAUUAAACCAAUGUCAGUGACGUCAUUCUACGCCACUACCACAGGUGAAGGUGCUGCCCACCCAUGAUGCCAGCAAGGUGCGUGCAAGUGGAUCCGGCCUUAAAACCACUGGAGUGCCCACCUCUCUGCCAGUGAAGUUCAACAUUGAUGCCAAAGAUGCAGGACCCAGACGGGAAGCCCAAGAAGCAAA